UACAGAGGUCUCAAGCGUUGUUCGGAUUCAUUGGGCGUAAAGGGUGCGUAGGUGGCGCCGUAAGUCAGGUGUGAAAUUUUGGAGCUUAACUCCGAAACUGCAUUUGAUACUGCGGUGCUUGAGGACUGGAGAGGAGACUGGAAUUUACGGUGUAGCAGUGAAAUGCGUAGAGAUCGUAAGGAAGACCAGUGGCGAAGGCGGGUCUCUGGACAGUUCCUGACGCUGAGGCACGAAAGCCAGGGGAGCAAACGGG
rnacentral:rRNA from 1 species